GGACCUGUGGCGCAGCGGUAGCGCGUCUGAUUCCAGAUCCAGAAGGUCAUCCGUUCAAAUCGGGUCAGGUUCA
rnacentral:tRNA from 1 species